CAAAACCCAGACAGAAACGUCCAACAAACUCCCAGUCCAGGAGCGCUGCAAAACCAACGCCAGUCUAGUUUGGGGUCUCUAUAAUCCUGCUCCUUUGGCUGCCAGCCAUCUCCAUAAAAAAAGAAUUUGAAAGGCUUCCAUUCUUUCAGAGACCUGUUUCCCGGGACUGGCUGCAAGGGAGAGAUGCACUGACCUUCUGCCAGGUAUAGAACUAUUGAAUGGUACAGUUUGAGAUCUUCGAAACCAUCAGGACUGAUCAUUUUCUGGCUACUUUCUACAUAGGAAUCCUAGAGUUCCUUGGAGAGGAUAUGAAGGUUAUUCUCAGGCCAUGCAGAUGGGCAAGAAAGGAUGUGCGUCCAUGGUUCCUCUUCAAAUCCAACCAAAACAGCCUUGCUUCCGUUGGCUUUAUAUAAUACUGCAACUCUUGAUAAUCUGAUUUAACACAAAUUUCCUCAUUGAGUUUCUCCUCAUGAAGAAACGGCCUCAGUGAGGUAAAUCGGAAUGCACAGGAGCACAUAGCAGGUUAGUGCAGACCAGAAAUCAAACCCAGGCUUUCUGACUGCUCAAUAGACCACAAUCUACCAUGCUACCAUGGAAACUUUAAAACAGAUGAAAGUAAAAACAAACAAACAACAACUUAAAAAAACAAAAACAAA
rnacentral:lncRNA from 1 species